AGAGUUUGAUCCUGGCUCAGAGUUAACGCUGGCAUCGUGCAUAACACAUGCAAGUCGAACGGGACUUACUUGAGUAGCAAUACUGAGUAAGUUUAGUGGCAGACGGGUGAGUAAUACAUAAGGAAUUUACCUCUGAGUGGGGAAUAACAGUCCGAAAGGAUUGCUAAUACCCCAUAACAUAACUUUGUGGCAUCACUUAGUUAUCAAAGAUUUAUCGCUUGGAGAGAAUCUUAUGGUCUAUCAGCUUGUUGGUAGUGUAACGGACUACCAAGGCGACGACGGAUAGCCGGCCUGAAAGGGCGACCGGCCACAAGGGCACUGAGACACGGGCCCUACUCCUACGGGAGGCAGCAGUGGGGAAUUUUGGACAAUGGGCGCCAAGCCUGAUCCAGCAACGAUGCGUGGAGGAUGAAGGUUCUCGGAUUGUAAACUCCUUUUAAGGGGGACGAAAAAAUGACGGUACCCCUUGAAUAAGCCACGGCUAACUACGUGCCAGCCGCCGC
rnacentral:rRNA from 1 species